rnacentral:rRNA from 1 species
GUGUCAGCCGCCGCGGUAAUACGAAGGGGGCUAGCGUUGCUCGGAAUCACUGGGCGUAAAGGGCGCGUAGGCGGCGUUUUAAGUUGGGGGUGAAAGCCUGUGGCUCAACCACAGAAUUGCCUUCGAUACUGGGACGCUUGAGUGUGGUAGAGGUUGGUGGAACUGCGAGUGUAGAGGUGAAAUUCGUAGAUAUUCGCAAGAACACCGGUGGCGAAGGCGGCCAACUGGACCAUCACUGACGCUGAGGCGCGAAAGCGUGGGGAGCAAACAGGAUUAGAAACCCCAGUAGUCC